UGGGGUGUAGCUCAGUGGUAGAGUACUUGCCUAGCAUGCAUGAGCCCUGGAUUAUAUCACCAGUACCCCCC
rnacentral:tRNA from 1 species